GACGAACGCUGGCGGCGUGCCUAAUACAUGCAAGUAGAACGCUGAAGGAGGAGCUUGCUCUUCUGGAUGAGUUGCGAACGGGUGAGUAACGCGUAGGUAACCUGCCUGGUAGCGGGGGAUAACUAUUGGAAACGAUAGCUAAUACCGCAUAACAGUAGAUGUUGCAUGACAUUUACUUAAAAGGUGCAAUUGCAUCACUACCAGAUGGACCUGCGUUGUAUUAGCUAGUUGGUGGGGUAACGGCUCACCAAGGCGACGAUACAUAGCCGACCUGAGAGGGGGGUCGGCCACACUGGGACUGAGACACGGCCCAGACUCCUACGGGAGGCAGCAGUAGGGAAUCUUCGGCAAUGGACGGAAGUCUGACCGAGCAACGCCGCGUGAGUGAAGAAGGGUUUCGGAUCGUAAAGCUCUGUUGUAAGAGAAGAACGAGUGUGAGAGUGGAAAGUUCACACUGUGACGGUAUCUUACCAGAAAGGGACGGCUAACUACGUG
rnacentral:rRNA from 1 species